UAUUGGUCGCUUCGCGACGAUAAGCUGUGAACCCCGCCAGGUCCGGAAGGAAGCAACGGUAACAGCCGACGCGGGCGCCGAAGAAGGGCUGGUGCUC
rnacentral:SRP_RNA from 1 species